AGUGAACGCUGGCGGCGUGCCUAAUACAUGCAAGUCGAACGAAGUGGCGCACGGGUGUGUAAUAUAUAGUUAAUCUGCCCUACACAGAGGAACAACAGUUGGAAACGACUGCUACUACCUCAUAGUGUAGGAUGAGACUAUAUCGUAUCAGCUAGUUGGUAAGGUAAUGGCUUACCAAGGCUAUGACGAGUAACUGGUCUGAGAGGAUGAGCAGUAAAAUUGGAAGUGAGGCACGGUCCAAAAUCCUACGGCAGGGAGCAGUAAGGAAAAUUGGGCAAUGGGGGAAACCCUGACGGAGCAACGCGGCGUGGAGGAUUACACUUUUCGGAGAGUAAACUCCGUUUAACAGGACGGCGGUACCUGAUGAAUAAGCACCGGCUAACUCCGUGCCAGCCGCCGCGGUAAUAC
rnacentral:rRNA from 1 species